rnacentral:misc_RNA from 1 species
UAAAAGUGAUAACAUCAAUAGCUGGAUCUAAUCAAGAAGUCAGAGAAAUUCAUGGAGCAAAUCAAUGAUCAUCAUAUCAAAUCAAGGAUAUUAAGGAAUCUGUAGAUUUACCUGCAUCAUUUUUCUAUGUAUAUAAAUAUAGACCUUGUACAGCAAAUAAUCAUAUAAAAAAAGAGAAACCAUUUUGUUCAUGGUAUCAGAGCAGUAAAGAUCCCACCUCGACAACAUCAGCUCAUUGUUCAAAUACACCUAACCUUUCUGUACCUGUUAUUACUCCACCAUGGCUAACACAUCCAAGAAAGAAACAGAACAUGACCAGUUCACCUUAUCAAAUUCUGAUCACCCAGGCAUGUCACUAAUCAACGUCCCUCUCACUAGCGAUAAUUACCUCACUUGGAGUCGAUCCAUGUUGAUCGGAUUAAGGGCCAAAGAUAAACUUGGGUUCAUCCAUGGCACAUGCAAAAAGCCAGUAGAUACCUCUCCAGAUUCUGAGAAAUGGCUCAAGGUCGACAGCAUGGUCAUCUCUUGGAUACUAAGUUCUAUGUCAAAAGAAAUAGUAGAAGCUUUUCUAUAUGCAUCGUCUGCCAAGGAUUUAUGGGAUGAGCUUGCCCAGAGAUUUGGUGAAAGCAACGGUCCCUUGAUAUAUCAAAUCAACAGAGAGAUAUGCUCUCUUAGCCAAGGUAAUAUGUCUCUCAUAAAUUACUUCACUAAGCUCAAAAAGCUUUGGGAUGAACUAGCUUGUCUCGAGCAAUUUCCAGUUUGUGAAUGUGAAGCCUCGAAGGAAAUUGCAGAGAUGGAAAAUAAUACAAAAUUGAUUCAGUUCCUUAUGGGAUUGAACCCAUCUUAUGACCAUGUCCGCAACCAAAUUCUGCUCAUGGACCCAUUCCCACCUGUCAACAAAGCCUACUCUAUGGCUUUGCAAGUUGAAAAACAGAGAGAGAUCAACACUUUUUCCCUUGACAGCACCGAAUCAUCCCUAGCCAUGCUGGCAAAAGGAUUGAGCUCCAAAAGAAUCCAUGAAGGCAACAAAAAUCAAAACAAAAGGAAGGAUGGAAUCAAGAAAGAGGAUAAAUACUGUGAGCAUUGUAAGACAACCAGCUACUUCUCGGAAAGCUACUUUAAAAUCAUUGAAUACCCGGAAUGGUAUAAAGGACGAAGAACCACACCAUCUGCUAAUCUAGCAAAUACAACUUCUCAGGGAAGUACAGCAGAUGAAUCCAUUGAACAAGGCAAACAUUCUGGAGAUUGGAACAACCCAAAUCUCACUAACUUGAUCCAGCAAGAAAUCAUGAAAGCAUUGAAAGGUGAAAUCGAUCAUGAAGCUGGUUGUGUCGACUUCCCUAACUUCGCUGGUAAGAGUUCUCACACCUCUACUUUAUGUAAAGAUGGUAAAUGGAUUAUUGAUAGUGGUGCAAUGACUCAUAUGUGUUGUGAUCGAAAUCUUUUUACCACUCUUACGCCCCAAAAAUCACACAAUUUUGUUCAACUACCUGAUGACUCCACCAAAAAAAUUACCCAUAUAGGAACCGUGGAGUUACAUCCACAUUUGAAAUUACAAAAUGUGAUUUAUAUACCUGAAUUCAAACAUAACCUCUUGUCCAUUCACCAAUUAUCUAAAGAUUCGCAAAUUCCUAUUCUCUUCACUAAUAAUCAUUAUUAUAUGCAGGACCCCUGGACUAGGAAGUUAUUGGCAAUUGGAAGGAUGGACAAGAGACUAUAUAAGCUUGUCACAAGCUCAUUCAACCAAGCUCGACAUCCCUCUGUGCUCACUACAUUUGAGGAACUAUGUCAACUUUCAAAUAAUUGUAGAGAUUCUGUCAAUGCAAUUUCAAGUCAUGUCAAUGACUCCUAUUUGUGGCAUCAAAGGCUCGGGCAUGCAUCUGAGUCUACAUUUUCUCAUAUUGCCAAAAUAAAAUUCAAUGGAAAUCAUUUUGAUUGUGAUAUAUGUCCAUUGGCUAAGCAACAAAGGUUGCCUUUUCCAAAAAGUACCAUUAACAACUUAGCCAUUUUCCAACUAUUACAUCUCGAUCUAUGGGGUCCAUAUAAGAUCAAGUCCUUGCAAGGCGCAUCCUACUUCCUCACCAUCGUGGAUGACUAUAGCAAGUCAACCUGGACAUACUUACUAGCUGAUAAAUUUCAAGUUCCCUCCACCAUCGCAACAUUCUUACAAUUCAUCAAGAACUACUUUGAAGGCACUGUGAAAAUCAUACGAACAGAUAACGGGACUAAAUUUAUCAACCAAGAAUGUGAACAAUUGUUUGUUCAAAAUGGUAUCUUACACCAAAGGACCUGCUGUAGACACCAUAUUUUGG